UCCGAUAUGGUGUAGUGGUUAACAUCGUCCGCUUUCAUCGAUUUCUUUCGAAGUUGGGAAUGGUCCGGACAGCCCCGGGUUCGAUUCCCGGUAUCGGAA